UAGGGAAUCUUCGGCAAUGGACGAAAGUCUGACCGAGCAACGCCGCGUGAGUGAAGAAGGUUUUCGGAUCGUAAAACUCUGUUGUUAGAGAAGAACAAGGACGUUAGUAACUGAACGUCCCCUGACGGUAUCUAACCAGAAAGCCACGGCUAACUACGUGCCAGCAGCCGCGGUAAUACGUAGGUGGCAAGCGUUGUCCGGAUUUAUUGGGCGUAAAGCGAGCGCAGGCGGUUUCUUAAGUCUGAUGUGAAAGCCCCCGGCUCAACCGGGGAGGGUGAUUGGAAACAGGGAGACUUGAGUGCAGAAGAGGAGAGUGGAAUUCCAUGUGUAGCGGUAAAAUGCGUAGAUAUAUGGAGGAACACCAGUGGCGAAGGCGGCUAUCUGGUAUGUAACUGACGCUGAGGCUCGAAAGGGUGGGGAGCAAACAGG
rnacentral:rRNA from 1 species